GUGCUCGUCCCACCAGUCGGGCGAUGAGUUGGUCUGACUGGUGGCCCCUGGCACCAGGCUUCCCCAUGGGCACUGGAGCAGGCGGACAGGGGUGGGGCCCCGCGAGCGACACGGAAGGGUCAGGGUGGCGGAGCGGACCCUGUGGAGGCGGGGUCACUGUGCUCCUGCGAAGGGUCUUCGGGGGUGGAGUCUAUCAAGGGUGCGGGGGCGUGGUCACGGAGCGGGGCCAAUAAAAGGUGACGGUGGCGGGCCGGUGCCUAUGAAGGGCGAGGGGUGUGGUCACAGGGCGGGAUCUACAAGGGAUGCAGGGGCGAGGCCGGGUCUCUGAAGGAUGUGCGGUCGCGGGGCGGAGUCUAUAAAGGACAAGGGGCGUGUCCCUGGGUGGGGUGAGAGGUGUGGUCAUGGGGUGCAGGUCUGUGUAGGCUGAGGAGCUUGUUCCCCGAGUGAGGGUCUGUGAAGGGUGAGGGCGUGUUCCUGGGGUGGGGGUGUUUGUGAAGGAUGAGAGUUUUUCUGGCAUGAGGGGCUGGUGAAGGGUGAGGGGCGUUUUCCCGGCUUGAGGGUCUGUGAAGAGUGAGAGCCGUGUUGCCGCUGGUGCAGGUCUGUGAAGGGUGAGGGGCGCGUUCCCGGAAUGAGGGUCUGUGAAGGGUGAGGGGCGCGUUCCCGGAAUGAGGGUCUGUGAAGGGUGAGGGGCGUGUUCCUGGGGUGGGGGUGUUUGUGAAGGAUGAGAGUUUUUCCGGCAUGAGGGACUGUUAAGGGAGAGGGGUGUUUUCCUGGCUUGAGGGUCUGUGAAGGCUGAGAGCCAUGUUGCCGGUGGUGCGGGUCUGUGAAGGGUGAGGAGAGUGUUCCUGGAGCAGGAUAUGUGAAGGGUGAAUGACGUGCUUUCGGGUGAGGUUAGUGCAGGACGAGCGGAGUUGUCUCGGGGCUGUGUCCUCUAAGGUGGGGACGUGGUUUCUGGGCGGGGUCCGCCAUUUUGUCUGGUGAAAGUGAGAAAGGGAGGGUCCAGGGACAAGCGAGACUCCCACCUCUGGCCUCAUCCUCCAGCCCUGCGUUUUCCCCACUUGUACUGCCAGAAAGCUGAGUGGUGGCAGUCACUUUUGGAGUCUUCCUGAGACGAUCCACCAAUAUGAAGUAAACUCGAGGAGGUUUUUCAGUGUCCACACUCAGGGUUAUUUCCCAGCGGAAGCAGGGGAAAAUGCCAUGGGUCAUUGCUCUGCCAGGGCCUCCCUGCACAGGUGAGUGAGGAGAUUCUUAGGUCAAGACAAAGCAUAAACAAUCAACUCCAACAGAAAAAUCUGAAGAACAAUUACAAGGAGUAACUCAGGAGAUUUUCCCAAGAGGCAAUCCAGAGGAGUUUGAGUUUCGAUCAGCUUGCAGGAUUGAGACAGGAGCAGAAUAUUGCUGGAAAAAAUUCACAAUAAAGACCGGGAUGGCCGUGCGCGGUGGCUCACGCCUGUAAUCCCAGCACUUUGGGAGGCUGAGGUGGGCAGAUCAUGAGGUCAGGAGAUUGAGACCAUCCUGGUUAACACCAUGAAACCCCGUCUCUACUAAAAAUACAAAAAAUUAGCUGGGCGUGGUGGCGGGCGCCUGUAGUUCCAGCUACUCAGGAGACUGAGGCAGGAGAAUAGCCAGAACCCGGGAGGCGGAGCUUGCAGUGAGCCGAGACUGCGCCACUGUACUCCAGCCUGCAGCCUGGGCGACACAGCAAGACUCCGUCUCAAAAAACAAACAAAAAAACCCAGGAUGAAGUUAUUUCCCCAAAAGAGAGGUUCGAGGCAAGUGGUCAGCUCCCACUUGAAAAUCAAUGCAGCAGACAAAUACCAGGAAUGUAAUAAAUUGGAGAAAAGUUUGUCUCUGGGCACAAAACCUGUUGUACGUCUGAGGGACAGGCCAGAAGAGAGAGCCAGUAGCUGGAGGAUGGGUGGCUGAGGCUUUCCCUGUGAGUCAUGUCUGAGUGGACAUCAAGCAGUUACCAGUGGGUCAAAGCCCCAUGGAUGUCAUGUGUGUGGGAAGUCUUUCAGCAAGAACUCACACCUUACUUGGCAUCAGAUAAUUCAUACUACAGAGAAGCCUUGUGUAUGUAUUGAAUGUGGGGAAAAAAUCACAACUCAAGCCUUAUACAACAUCAGAAAAUUCACUGUGGAUGGUGAAACCCUAUCUCUACUAAAAAUACAAAAAUUAUCUGGGUGUGGUGGUGCAUGCCCAUAAUCCCAGCUACUCAGGAGGCUGAAGCAGAAGAAUUGCUUGAACUAGGGAGGCGGAGGUUGCAGUGAGCUGAGAUUGCGGCACUGCACUCCAGCCUGCGUGACAGAGUGAGAUUCCGUCUAAAAAAAAAAAAAGGCCAGGCGCGGUGGCUCACGCCUGUAAUCCCAGCACUUUGGGUGGCUGAGGCGGGCAGAUCACAAGGUCAGGAGAUUGAGACUAUCCUGGCGAACACGGUGAAACCCCUUCUCUACUAAAAAUACAAAAAUAAAUUAGCCAGGCAUGGUGGCGGGCGCCUGUAGUCCCAGCUACUUGGGAGGCUGAGGCAGGAGAAUGGCGUGAACCUGGGAGGCGGAGCUUGCAGUGAGCAGAGAUCACGCCACUGCACUCCAGCCUGGGAGACAGUGAGACUCCAUCUCAAAAAAAAAAAAAGGAAAAGAAAAUUUAUGGUGGAGAGAAACACUAUGUGUGUAGUGAAUUUGGCAAGGGCUUUAGGGAGACAUCAAAACUUGUUAAACAUCAGAUAAUUCAUACUGGAGAAAAGCCCUAUGGGUGGAAUGAAUAUGGCACAGCUUUUAGUGGGAAUUCAAACCUUAUUAAACACCAACUGAUACAUACUGGAGAGAAGCCCUAUAAAUGUAUUGAGUGUGGGAAAGCCUUUAAUCCGAAAGCAAAUCCCAGGCAAUAUCAGAGAAUUCGUACAGGAGAGAAACUUUUUGAAUGUAAAGAGUGUGGAAAAAGCUUCAGUCAGCCAUCACACAUGAUUCAUAAUCAAAGGAUGCAUUUUUGAGAGAAGCCCUAAAAAUGCAAUGAGUGCGGAAGGGGCUUCAAACAUCACACCGGAUUGAUCAUCAAAGAAUACACACUGGAGAGAAAACUUACUUGUGUGUCAUGUGUGGGAGAGGCUUCAUUCAGAUAUCACACUUGAUUCAUUGCCAUAGAACACAUUCUGUAGAGAAGCCACACGCAUGUAGUGAAUGUGGGAAAUGCUUCAGCCAGAGCUCAACUCUUACUAGACAUUAGGUUAUUCACACUAUGGAGAGCGAAUAUAAGUUAAAGGAAUGUGCGCAGGCUUUCAGGGUGAGCUAGCUUCUCAGUCACUAUCUCACAAAUUCUACUGGAGAGGAACCCCUCAAUUCAUACAGGAGGGAAAAGCAUCCAAGAAUGCAACAAAGGUGGGAAGCGUUUCAUUGUAGCUCAUUAUACAAUGUCAUGAGAGUUCCUAUUGGAGAGAACCCCGAUGGAUGUAAUGAAUGUUGAAAAAACAUUUAGCUGGAACUCACAUAUUAUUUACAAUGAGAUAAUUCAUAGAGAAUAUAAUGGAUAUGAGAGGCGUUGGUGUACUGUGGGAAGUAGGUGAAAAUGUGGGUUCCUGCUGUUGCCCUUUUGAAUAAAAUGCCCUAGCAGGUGCUUGCCGCAGGGUGGCCAUGCUCUGUAGGGAAUCUUGCUUUAGACUGGGAUUGUCAGAUGGAGACAAAGCCUUAUUCCUGGCUGGGAAUGCCACUGGAAAUGCUAGGGGAGACCAGGAUCCAUGGUGUGGCCUGAUCUCAAAUAUGCAGAAACCAGAAGCAGAGACCAGACCCACAGAGAGGCAGAUAAAUGCAACCCCCAAAGUGGAUGCACAGGAAAAUGGAAAACCAUUAGAGUUAGUGUUGGGUCCCCAAAGCUGCCUUUUUAUCCUGAACAAUGAUGAGCAAUGACUCAAGGUCUUCGUGAAACCAAACAGAAUAGCUGAGGUAGCUUCCUAUACCUCUGCACCAAGUUUCUUAAAUCUGAAAGCAUGUAGAAUGAGUGUCAGCCACACCAAUAUGUAGGAUCUGUAUUUUCAUCAGAAGGCAAUCCAUUGCGGCUACUGGCUACACUGAAAACAUAAAAUUAUUUUAACAUAAGCCUUCAGCAGCUUAGGAUAAAAUAAAAUCCUUGACUUUAGAAUGAAGUUUUCACUAUGAAAUGAAAUCAAGGCUGGGCACAGUGGCUUCCGCCUGUAAUCCCAGCAUUCUGAGAGACCAAGAUGGAUCCCUUGAGGCCAGGACUUUGAGACCAGCCUGGCAACAUGGUGAGACCCCAUCUCUACAAAGAAAUAAAGUUAGCCAGGUAUGGUGGUGGGUACCUGCCAUCCCAGCUACUUGGGAGGCUGAGGUGAAAGGAUCAUUUGAACUCAGGAGGUUGAGGCUGGAGUGAGCCAUGGUUGUACCACUGUACUCUGGCCUAGGCAACAGAGCAAGUCUCUGGCCCAAAAAUAUAUGUGUUAAAGAUUACUUAUAUCUAGUUCACACCUCCCAAAGGUAAUUCGAAUUGAAAUAGUGAUGCAUACAAUAAUGUCAUUAAAGUAGAAACACAAAAUAAAGGAUUAUAAAGCCA